CUUCCAUCCGUGAGGGAAGGGACCCAUCCGGCAGGCCAUCAUCACUGAGCUCGUAAGCUUCCCCACCAGCCAUCAGAACUCCCAUGACCAUCUCUCUGGGUCUACACUGUUAACCCUCCAGCCUGACACCCAGAUGGAGGAGGAGAAAGCAGUGGCAGCUCUUUUUAUCCUUGGACACAGCCAGUUGUCAGCCAUUCGGGCUAAAAUAUGGAAGAGCUGCGUUGGAAACGAGAGCAUUACUUGCAGAAGCGGUGGCAGAUUCUACAGAACCAUGAAGGGCAGGACCAUGGUUUCCAGUCCUUACAUCUGACCUGCCUCAGGGGCUUCUGAAAACACUGGAGCCAAGAACGUUUUUAUUGGGCAUCCUCUGCCAUCACCCUGAGCUCCCACCUCGAGUUACCUGCCCCUGUAGAAUCCACAUCAAGUGUUAAAAUCCCUGCUACAACUUCCUCCUGGCUUUGCCACCUCAGCCAGUCCUUG